rnacentral:lncRNA from 1 species
GUGACAACAAACAGGCCUCGUAUGACCUAAAAGUUUUGUCCCUUUUGGCCUCUCUCAGUCAAUUAAAUUCUACAACUUAAGAGCUUUGCUUUGGAUGUUGACAAUAAAUUUCUAGGAAGGUUAAAACAUAUGCAUAUGUAAUCCACAGCCGUUAUCAGUAAUGACUGCAUUGACAUCAAUAAAUUUCUCAUAUUGACAUCAUAAAUGUCUUUACUGACAUCAUAAAUUUCUCAAACAGUAACUUUACUGGGUUGUGGGAAGCCCGGAUCUUAGGGUACUACCUGGGGUUGGGGGUGAUUUGUCUCACCAUAGUAGAAAAUCUGGAGGGUGUAGCGUGCUUGGAAGCAGGGGAAGAGGCACCAAAAGAAGAGAUCUGCAAGAAAUACAUCUACCAGCUGGGUGCAGUUGAACAAAAUCAUUACAGGAUUAGCAGUUUUCUGACCCACUUACUAAAAAGAAGCUGAAUCACUGAAUUGAGACCCCAGGGAAAUGCAGAUUUAUACCUUUGAUGUAUUUCUUGAU